AAUUUUGUUCUUUACUAUAUUUUCAAGCAGUUUGUCUGGUACUGAAGUUAGGCUUACUGUCCUGCAUUUGCCAGGAUCACCUCUGCUGGGCCGGCUCCAGGCACC